rnacentral:rRNA from 1 species
AACAGGAUUAGAUACCCUGGUAGUCCACGCCGUAAACGAUGUCGACUUGGAGGUUGUGCCCUUGAGGCGUGGCUUCCGGAGCUAACGCGUUAAGUCGACCGCCUGGGGAGUACGGCCGCAAGGUUAAAACUCAAAUGAAUUGACGGGGGCCCGCACAAGCGGUGGAGCAUGUGGUUUAAUUCGAUGCAACGCGAAGAACCUUACCUACUCUUGACAUCCAGAGAACUUUCCAGAGAUGCUUUGGUGCCUUCGGGAACUCUGAGACAGGUGCUGCAUGGCUGUCGUCAGCUCGUGUUGUGAAAUGUUGGGUUAAGUCCCGCAACGAGCGCAACCCUUAUCCUUUGUUGCCAGCGGUUCGGCCGGGAACUCAAAGGAGACUGCCAGUGAUAAACUGGAGGAAGGUGGGGAUGACGUCAAGUCAUCAUGGCCCUUACGAGUAGGGCUACACACGUGCUACAAUGGCGCAUACAAAAAGAAUCGACCUCGCGAGAGCAAGCGGACCUCAUAAAGUGCGUCGUAAUCCGGAUUGGAGUCUGCAACUCGACUCCAUGAAGUCGGAAUCGCUAGUAAUCGUAGAUCAGAAUGCUACCGUGAAUACGUUCCCGGGCCUUGUACACACCGCCCGUCACACCAUGGGAGUGGGUUGCAAAAGAAGUAAGUAGCUUAACCUUCGGGAGGGCGCUUACCACUUUGUGAUUCAUGACUGGGGUGAAGUCGUAACAAGGUAGCCGUA